CUCCUACGGGAGGCAGCAGUGGGGAAUAUUGGGCAAUGGGCGAAACUUACCCAGCAACGCCGCGUGAGGGAAGAAGGUUUUCGGAUUGUAAACCUCUGUCCUAGGGGACGAAGGAAGUGACGGUACCCCGGGAGGAAGCCCCGGCUAACUACGUGCCAGCAGCCGCGGUAAUACGUAGGGGGCGAGCGUUGUCCGGAAUUAUUGGGCGUAAAGGGCGCGUAGACGGCUGAGUAAGUUACUGGUGAAAGCCCAGCUUUUAAGGCUGGAAUUGCCGGUAAUACUGUUCAGCUUGAGUGCAGGAGAGGGAAGCGGAAUUCCUAGUGUAGCGGGUGAAAUGCGUAGAUAUUAGGAGGAACACCAGUGGCGAAGGCGGCUUUCUGGACUGUAACUGACGUUGAGGCGCGAAAGCGUGGGGAGCAAACAGGAUUAGAUACCUUGGUAGUCCACGCCGUAAACGAUGGAUGCUAGGUGUGGGAGGUAUCGACCCCUUCCGUGCCGCAGUUAACGCAAUAAGCAUCCCGCCUGGGGAGUACGGCCGCAAGGUUGAAACUCAAAGGAAUUGACGGGGGCCCGCACAAGCAGCGGAGCAUGUGGUUUAAUUCGACGCAACGCGAAGAACCUUACCAGGACUUGACAUCUGAUUAAGCUUGUGGAAACACAAGGUCUUCGGGGGAAUCAAGACAGGUGGUGCAUGGUUGUCGUCAGCUCGUGUCGUGAGAUGUUGGGUUAAGUCCCGCAACGAGCGCAACCCUUAUUUCCAGUUACUAACAGGCAGCGCUGAGGACUCUGGAGAGACCGCCGGGGACAACUCGGAGGAAGGUGGGGACGACGUCAAAUCAUCAUGCCCCUUAUGUUCUGGGCUACACACGUGCUACAAUGGUGACUACAAAGAGAAGCGAAAUCGUAAGGUAGAGCGGAUCUCAAAAAAGUCAUCUCAGUUCGGAUUGUGGGCUGCAACCCGCCCACAUGAAGUCGGAGUUGCUAGUAAUCGCGGAUCAGCAUGCCGCGGUGAAUACGUUCCCGGGCCUUGUACACACCGC
rnacentral:rRNA from 1 species